UACGUAGGGGGCAAGCGUUGUCCGGAAUCAUUGGGCGUAAAGAGCGUGUAGGCGGCUCGAUAAGUCCGCUGUGAAAGUCCAGGGCUCAACCCUGGAAGGCCGGUGGAAACUGUCGGGCUAGAGUCCGGAAGAGGCGAGUGGAAUUCCCGGUGUAGCGGUGAAAUGCGCAGAUAUCGGGAGGAACACCAAUGGCGAAGGCAGCUCGCUGGGACGGUACUGACGCUCAGGCGCGAAAGCUAGGGGAGCAAACAGG
rnacentral:rRNA from 1 species